UACGAAGGGGGCUAGCGUUGUUCGGAAUCACUGGGCGUAAAGCGCGCGUAGGCGGCAAUGCAAGUCAGGGGUGAAAUGCCGGAGCUUAACUCCGGAACUGCCUUUGAAACUGCAUUGCUUGAGUCUCGGAGGGGAUAGCGGAAUUUCUAAUGUAGCGGUGAAAUGCGUAGAUAUUAGAAGGAACACCGGCGGCGAAGGCGGCUAUCUGGACGAGUACUGACGCUGAGGCGCGAAAGCGUGGGGAUCAAAC
rnacentral:rRNA from 1 species